AUCUUAUAUUAGACUCGAAGUUGAGCGAGCUAUAAACAAACAGGUUUGAAACAAAUUAAAAUUUAUCAAGACCGGCCGGGUUUCUGUCGCAAUAGAAUCCGUUGAUUUGUUUGUAGAGGUGAAAGGCCAAUCAUGCUCAAAAUAGCUAGAUUUCUGCGAAAUACAUGUAGGUGUAGCGAAAAAAUUAGAUAAAUGA
rnacentral:rRNA from 1 species